UCUAGGUGCAUCUGUGAGUCUC
rnacentral:siRNA from 1 species